GGAUGCCACAGCAGGAAACAGCCUGAUCAGAGAAAUGCUUUGUGAAGACAUUUUAAAUAGAAUUCUGUCAGAACAUCGAGUCCUGGAUCUACAAAAAGCAGCUUUGCUGGCCCUGGAGUGAAUUAUCAUGCGUUCUGUUACCUCUGGAGAAGGUGACAAGUUGCUGUUAGUUUGUUGAAUUUUUCCUUAUUGAUGGUACCUCCAGGAAGUGCCCAGUUCUUAUCUACAGAGAUGCCCUUCAAGGAGACCUUUAUGGGUCACAUUUAUGGCUCCUACGGUCUGGUCAAUACAGCAUUCUCUGCACCCCGUGCACCCUGCUACAAGCCUGUUGCAGCUUGGUUUCUUGGCCACAAAGGCAUGGAGGUGUGCACAUUGCCCAUGGAUGAGGCACUGGAGAAGGACACAGUUCUCAGUCUUCAUUCUCCGGCUCUUCAGUGUGAUCUUAUGCAGCAUAACGUUUCCACCUGAAUAAUUUACAAGGCAAAAGCACUCCAAGUAUGAAAACAUUUGCAACGAUAUUAGACAGAAAGACAGUCUUCACUGGGCCACUGCAAGGUACCUUUGUUGAAGCCUAUUUCCCUAGGAAAGUACAUGCUCCAACAAAUAGCCACUUGGAAUGUAAAUCAGGUUUUGACGGUAAGAGAGUAUUGAUUCCUUCAAGAAGAAUGUUAAUGGUCACAGUGCUACUCAUCAGGAAAAAUGAAUCUGUGAAAACUCCACUACCUACACAUUACACUUUUUGGUUACUGCAUGCUCCAAGCCUGUGGUUAGCCAAACUUAAAAUGUGAGCUGUUGAAUUUAUAUGUGCAGAGCAUGGGUCACAUUUUGGAGUCUGUCCAAGGAGUUCUCUCAGCUGUGGGAUCCAGGAAGGCUCUUCAGGCCUGGGUGUACAUCACAACCACAUCUUUCUCCAUAGUGGGACCCGUACCUUGCAUCCUAACAAGUCUUGGGCAACAGCGGCACCUCAGCUCACCUCAAGUCCCUGACUUGGGUGGCAGGCCUUAGCCCACUGUUCACUCUUAUUUCAUAAUCUUAGGAAAUUAAGUCUGUUAAAAAAUCACUACUUGUUGCCCAUGGGCCUGGUAUCAUUCUAUACAUCUGCUGGACUAAUGAAGGUAGACUUCAAACAGCUUGCCAACUUCCCUCCUUUACCACUGUUAACGUGUCAUUUUCAGAAUGUCAAAGGACGUGGGACAGACAAGAGAAAGCUGGGAUUGCAUGCGGACACUGUGCACACAUUUGCAUGAGUAGAAAAUCUCCCAAAUCACAGACUUUUCUGUCUAGAGGCAUGAUCCAUCCCUGGGAUAUCAAGGAUUUCAUUUUUGCUUAGAAACUUAAUGAUCUUGUUGCUUUCAAGGAGCUGUCAUUCUAUUUGUACCAUACAAAAUACAGAUACAGUCUUUUUUUUCUAUGUGUGUGUACCACAGUCACUACUCUGAGAAAGGGGGAAUCUGAAAAGUGAGCAAAACCACCACUUACAAUUUGCCUAUAAGAGUGCUUAGAUAUUUCUUAAUGCACUGAGGAAUGCAAAUCAAUCCCCCCCAGAACAACUCUAUCCAUCCAACCAGGAUCCCAAUGCUGAAUGCAAGUGCUGAUGGACAUCUUUAGGGGCUUAAUUAUCCAAAGUGCUAGGAAACCACAAGUUCCAUGGUCACAGGUAUGCAACAGCUUUGAAGACUGAGCUACUUGUAUUUAAAAGCUUCAGCGGAGAUUUAGCAACUUAACUUCAUGAAACCAACUCUGUGGGUUUCAUUUGUAUUCCAAAGGCAAAUACUAUCCCAGUUUUGGGAAGAGACAAGGAGGACAGCAAGAUGCUGAAAGUGCCCUAAGCUGCAGUGGGUGAUGAGGACGUGCUGGGACCUCGUCUGUUUUGGUUGCUCUGUGGGAAUCAAGGGGUCACACUGGGAGACCACUGGGAGAAGGGGAAACCCAAUAUCAUCAUCAAAGAAAAGGGAAACAAGACAUCAGCAACAGUCCUGCAUCUGUGAGCAGGUCACAGCCAAGGUGCUCUGUUUCCCUCUACUGGUAAAACCUCAAGAUUUAUUUUUUUAUAUAUCACUAGAAUUCUGGGGUUUUUUUGCUGGAGGUUUUCUGCUGGAGGUGUCUGUGUGGCACUGUGUGCUGUGCGUGCCCAUGCAUUGUGUGCUGAACAGUGCCUGUGAGCAUAUCCAGGUUUCUUGUUUUCUUCCAAAUCUCCCUCAGCUCUCUCUCUCUUUGCUGAGCUCUGCCAUACAGCCAGCUCCGUUUCAUGCUGUUGACUUCAGCAGAGUUGGGCAUGAAUCUAAAUUAUUAAGAAAUAUUUCAAGGUGAUUUAUGCAUGUUUGGGAAGGUGUCAUUGAUUUCUCAGCAUGAAAGCAAUGCCGCAACACUAACACUACUCUUCGGCAGUCUAACACUUUUUUUAAAGAACUGCUGCUAUUUGGUUGUGUUCAAAAGACAGAACAGAGAUUCUGUUGUAGGAAAGUCUCAAGAUUACGAGCUGGUAAGAAGAUGAGGUAAUUGUACACAUGGCACUGAAUGCACUAUCUAGAUAUUUGAAUUGCUCAGUCAGACCACACGGCCCACAGCCAGCUCCAGUAAGACCUCAUGCACGAUCCUCUGCUUCCCAUUGCCAAAGAAAACAUCAGUGUUCACAACCAUUAGAGGACUUUAGAAGUAAGCAAAAUUAAUUUAGGAAGGAGCUUUCUGAGCUUUCACAGGCACCAUCUUAUAGAGACAUGGGUCUCCUUCCAGCUUACAGUCUUUCACUAUCUUGGGGUCUUUCAGGGCGUUUCUUCCUUUCCACGUGACAUCCCCAACAGCAGAGGUUUCCCAUGUCCUGCUACCAGGGUUAGCAUUUUACACUGGGAAUGCAUUUGAGUUUUUCCACAUGUGAUAAAAACAAAUGGCGAAUUUCAUCUCUAGGAGAAAUAAGUGACUGUUACACUUACCUGCAAGUGCUUUUCUUGGAAAGUCCAGUCGUUCAUGCUCACAUAGUUCAGUUUAACACGACUGUUAGAUUAAUUGAGCUAUUCAGCAUGUCUGGUCACAAAGUAUGUUGUAACUAAUUUCAGAAAGCCCUGGGCAGGCUGGCAGGGCCUAGGAGUGCAACCAGAGGUAUUGCCAUACAGACUGUUGGGUCUCACAGCGAGUUGACAUUGAAAUUAAUUUACCAUUGAAGAAAGUGAUGGGAUGUGAGGAAACAAUGCUUUUGGACAAAUUGCUCUGCUUCUGUUGCUCUCAACACUCCGCUUUUUGAAUACAUG
ensembl:lncRNA